UACGUAGGGGGCAAGCGUUGUCCGGAAUCAUUGGGCGUAAAGAGCGUGUAGGCGGCCCGGUAAGUCCGUUGUAAAAGUCAAAGGCUCAACCUUUGAAUGCCGAUGGAUACUGCCGGGCUAGAGUCCGGAAGAGGCGAGUAGAAUUCCUGGUGUAGCGGUGGAAUGCGCAGAUAUCAGGAGGAAUACCCAUAGCGAAGGCAGCUCGCUGGGACGGUACUGACGCUAAGGCGCGAAAGCGUGGGGAGCGAACAGG
rnacentral:rRNA from 1 species